rnacentral:lncRNA from 13 species
CCAGAUUUGAGCCGCUACCGCCUCGACGUGCGGCGCCUCUUGAGCGAAACUACGGGGCGAGACGACGACGCGCAGAAGAGGAGCUUCAAGGUGCCGUAGCAGCCCGAAGACCGCGAAUUGAAAUCGCGGACUUAGUUGCGGAGGCACCAUCACCUCGAUACACCCCCGACGGUGAAUCAUCAGAUGACGACGACGAUACUCGAGGUAAUUUUGACAGAGUUCCAUCCUCAGCCGAUGAGGCUAUAUUUACUUCAGUGUAAGCAAACGAGACGGAGGACGAAGAAGAAAGAGAGGAAAGAGCGACGCAGGAGGAGGAAGA